rnacentral:lncRNA from 1 species
AAUAUGAAAAAGAAGUGAUAGCCUUGAAUUCAAAAGAAUUGCAAAACUUUGUUUGAUGAUUUGAAAAAGUCCUCUAGUCCACUAUAUUUCAAAAGGGUUUGGUUUAUGAAAAUGUUCUUUGACUAAUAGGGGGAUCUAACUCCAAGUUUUUCUACUACUUAUCCAAAAUGCCACCAUCCACCCUAGCCAAGCCACGUUAUAACCCUAAAAG